GAGCUCAGAUUGAACGCUGGCGGCAGGCCUAACACAUGCAAGUCGAGCGGUAACAGAAAGUAGCUUGCUACUUUGCUGACGAGCGGCGGACGGGUGAGUAAUGCUUGGGAACAUGCCUUGAGGUGGGGGACAACAGUUGGAAACGACUGCUAAUACCGCAUAAUGUCUACGGACCAAAGGGGGCUUCGGCUCUCGCCUUUAGAUUGGCCCAAGUGGGAUUAGCUAGUUGGUGAGGUAAUGGCUCACCAAGGCGACGAUCCCUAGCUGGUUUGAGAGGAUGAUCAGCCACACUGGGACUGAGACACGGCCCAGACUCCUACGGGAGGCAGCAGUGGGGAAUAUUGCACAAUGGGCGCAAGCCUGAUGCAGCCAUGCCGCGUGUGUGAAGAAGGCCUUCGGGUUGUAAAGCACUUUCAGUCAGGAGGAAAGCGUGGUGGUUAAUACCCAUCAUGUGU
rnacentral:rRNA from 1 species